AUGCCAUCGCCGAGAUGGGCAUCUGUGCCCAGCGGGUUCCACCUGUUAGAGAUCGUCGGCUACUCCCGCGCCAAAGACAUGCCCACUGGCGCGGCCCUGGAGUCUAGACCGUUCAUGGUUGGAGGCUAUAGAUGGUGUAUCCAGAUCUAUCCGAACGGUAGAUUCCCGGAGGAUGCCGAUUGCAUAGCUGUUUCUUUCGCUCUCAUCCAGGAUGUUGAGCACCCUGUGAAAGUGCACGCUGGGUUCAGUUUCAUCGACGAGGUUGAAAAGCAAGAUCCUAGGCAUGUUCGUACAAUUCAGAUAACUCAUGUGCCUGGCAAUUGCUGCAUGGGUUUCCCCAGACACAUCACAAGGGAAGCCUUCGAAAAGUCCGAGCAUCUCAAAAACGACUGUUUCACCAUCCGGUGUGAUCUCAUCAUCGUUCAGGAAGGGCUACAGGGCGUCAACGCUAGAGCAAACGCCGACUGA
rnacentral:rRNA from 1 species